UGACUUCGUUUCCAGACUUUUGGACUUUCCAGUUUUAUUUUUGUUUUCUGUGAAAUUUGCACAAUUCAUGAUAGAUUAGGUGGGUUUGGUUCAUGGCUUCAUACACACAGUUGAACGAAAUACAGCUCAGAUGAGUCGCAACAUUUGCUACCGCCGCUUUUAGAUGACUAGUGUGUUGCAACAUGCUCAUCAGAAUUCUUUCAACGAAAAAGGCUUUCGGGCGCAACCAUUUGGUAUGGAGGCAAUGAAAUACAGCGAGUCCAACCAAUUGCAAGAUUCUAAUAUGACGAGAUAAUUUUAUAACAGAUAUAAAUUUGCUCCUUUUCACGAUAUCCUUUCAAAGAGACAUGCCCAUACUAAUGAAAUUGGGUACCUAUUGAUACCAGACUGCUAAUGGAAAAUCAGUUUCCCUAAUGAAUGUCUUACCUCGACCAACUUGUAAAAAAUUUCACGUUUUACACUUAAAAUAUUUAAUUUCAUUGCUGCCUGGCAGCGAAAAUGCAACGUAGGCAGCAAAUUUCUUUUUCUUGUUUCUUUCUUUUUUCCUCUUGCACUUUCCACAAUAGCACCGCCAUUGCUGCAGCACAGAAAAAGUCGGCACAAAGCAAAUGGAAAAAUGAAAUAAGCCGACAUGAAAAAAUUUCAAUAGCCUUGCAACGCCUAUAUCCAUAUGUUAAUAAUAAAAUUGGUUUGGUUUAAAAUAAAACUUACACGUUAUACUUUGCUUUGAACACUCUGCAAACAAUU